rnacentral:rRNA from 1 species
UACGUAGGUGGCAAGCGUUUGUCCGGAUUUACUGGGCGUAAAGGAUGCGUAGGCGGAUGUUUAAGUGAGAUGUGAAAUACCCCGAGCUCAACUUGGGUGCUGCAUUUCAAACUGGAUAUCUAGAGUGCAGGAGAGGAAAGCGGAAUUCCUAGUGUAGCGGUGAAAUGCGUAGAGAUUAGGAAGAACACCAGUGGCGAAGGCGGCUGACUGGACACAUAUUGACGCUGAGGCUCGAAAGCAUGGGGAGCAAACAGG